rnacentral:tRNA from 1 species
GGGGGUGUAGCUCAGCUGGGAGAGCACCUGCCUUGCAAGCAGGGGGUCAGGAGUUCAAAUCUCCUCAUCUCCACCA